GUUACCUACGGGAGGCAGCAGGGGGGAAUAUUGCACAAUGGGGGGAACCCUGAUGCAGCGACGCCGCGUGAGUGAAGAAGUAUUUCGGUAUGUAAAGCUCUAUCAGCAGGGAAGAUAAUGACGGUACCUGACUAAGAAGCCCCGGCUAACUACGUGCCAGCAGCCGCGGUAAUACGUAGGGGGCAAGCGUUAUCCGGAUUUACUGGGUGUAAAGGGAGCGUAGACGGCAGCGCAAGUCUGGAGUGACAUGCCUGGGCCCAACCCCGGAACUGCUUUGGAAACUGUGCGGCUCGAGUGCGGGAGAG
rnacentral:rRNA from 1 species